rnacentral:rRNA from 1 species
AACGAACGCUGGCGGCAUGCCUAACACAUGCAAGUCGAACGAAACCUUCGGGUCUUGUGGCGCACGGGUGCGUAACGCGUGGGAACCUGCCCUUAGGUUCGGAAUAACUCCCCGAAAGGGGUGCUAAUACCGGAUAAUGUCUUCGGACCAAAGAUUUAUCGCCUUUGGAUGGGCCCGCGUUGGAUUAGCUAGUUGGUAGGGUAAAAGCCUACCAAGGCGACGAUCCAUAGCUGGUCUGAGAGGAUGAUCAGCCACACUGGGACUGAGACACGGCCCAGAAUCCUACGGGAGGCAGCAGUGGGGAAUAUUGGACAAUGGGCGAAAGGCUGAUCCAGCAAUGCCGCGUAAGUGAUGAAGGCCUUAGGGUUGUAAAGCUCUUUUACCCGGGAUGAUAAUGACAGUACCGGGAGAAUAAGCUCCGGCUAACUCCGUG